UACGGGGGGAGCAAGCGUUGUUCGGAUUUACUGGGCGUAAAGGUCGCGUAGGCGGCCACCGCAAGUCGACUGUGAAAUCUCCGGGCUUAACCCGGAAAGGUCAGCCGAUACUGCGGGGCUAGAGUGCAGAAGGGGCAACUGGAAUUCUCGGUGUAGCGGUGAAAUGCGUAGAUAUCGAGAGGAACACCUGCGGCGAAGGCGGGUUGCUGGGCUGACACUGACGCUGAUGCGCGAAAGCUAGGGGAGCGAACGGG
rnacentral:rRNA from 1 species